UGGGGAAUAUUGCACAAUGGGCGAAAGCCUGAUGCAGCGACGCCGCGUGAGUGAGGAAGUAUUUCGGUAUGUAAAGCUCUAUCAGCAGGGAAGAAAGAAAUGACGGUACCUGAGUAAGAAGCUCCGGCUAAAUACGUGCCAGCAGCCGCGGUAAUACGUAUGGAGCAAGCGUUAUCCGGAUUUACUGGGUGUAAAGGGAGCGUAGGCGGCAGAGCAAGUCUGAUGUGAAAGCCCGGGGCUCAACCCCGGUAGUGCAUUGGAAACUGUUCAGCUCGAGUGUCGGAGGGGUAAGCGGAAUUCCUGGUGUAGCGGUGAAAUGCGUAGAUAUCAGGAAGAACACCGGAGGCGAAGGCGGCUUACUGGACGAUUACUGACGCUGAGGCUCGAAAGCGUGGGGAGCGAACAGGAUUAGAUACCCUGGUAGUCCACGCUGUAAACGAUGAAUACUAGGUGUCGGUACCCGAAGGGUAUCGGUGCCGUCGCAAACGCAUUAAGUAUUCCACCUGGGGAGUACGUUCGCAAGAAUG
rnacentral:rRNA from 1 species